GUUUAAGUUGCUAACCAUUCUUAGAGGAACUCUGCUUACCUCUUGGGUUCUGAAGGGUCUGACUGACCAGAGAGGCAUGAAGGGGGCAGGCUCAGCAUGAUCACCAGCACUGAGAACCACACAAACUGAAGAACUGCUAGGUGCUGGCUAGUGGGAGACUUAAGACCAACCAACCACCCUAUGGAGCAGCCAGACAUCUUGUUUCUACCAGAUCCUUCUCCCUGUCCAUCUCAUCACUCUGAAGUUGGUGAACACAGAGCUGACAACAGAACCCCAGGCACAAAGAAUCAGGAUAAGAGGAACUCCUCCUCUUCACAUUCAGAAGCCCAAGAAGACACCUUUCUGCUGGCAUCCAUCAAGGUGGUAUAUCUUCAUUGUCCCAGUUCUACUUUACUCAGGCCCUCUGGAUCCUCCCACCCAUUCUCCUACAGGUUAAAAUUACCAUGAGGCCAGGCACGGUGGCUUAUGCUAUAAUCCCAGCACUUUGGGAGACCAAGGUGGGAGGAUUGCUGAAGGCCAGGAGUUUGAGACCAACUUCAGGCAAGAAGAUUACUUGAGUCCAGGAGUUUGAGACCAGCCUGAACAAUACAGCAAGACCCUAUCUCUACAAAAAAAAUUAAAAUUAGCCAUGUGUGGCGGUGCACGUCUGUAGUCUCAGCUACCUGGGAGGCUGAGGUGGGAAGAAUGCUUGAGCCCAGGAGGUUGAGGCUGCAGUGAGCCAUAAUCACACUACUGCCUGGGUGACCAAGUGAGACCCCGAUUCAAAAAUAAAAAGGAAAACAAACAAAAUUACAAAGCGAAAUUUAAAAAAGAACCAAACUCUAAAAAUAUGUAUGUAUGUUUGUGCGGUUUCUUGUGUAUGUUUGUGUGGUAUCUCAUGUUUGUAUGUGUGGGUGUUAUCAGACUCUCAGGCUUGGGAGCCCCUCUGGAACCCAGCAGUUUCUGCAGCCUUACAGGCUGGCACUCCUUAAACAUAGGUUCCAUUCUAAACUUUAAUUUACAUCCACAUAGUAGGCCACAUUACUCAAUAGCAGUUCCGAGACUUAGAAUAUUCUUCUCCAUGUUGAGAGGAAAUUCCUAUUCUAUAGAUCUCAUUUGGUAGAAUGGGGUACAAAAAAUUUAGGAUUUGGAUUUAGAUUAGCACUGAAGUCCCAUUUUGCCUCUUAUUAACAAAUAGACCACUGACAUCUAAAUUUCAUUUUCAAAUUAGGAAAUACGUACAGGUAAUAACAUAUUUGAAAACUUCUACCUUACUCAAAUUUAAAAUGCAAAUUAACAUAUCUUAAUUUGUUACUAAACGAAUAUUGAAGAAUAGAGUUAACAAUCAAUAUCUGGCUGGGCGCGGUGGCUCACGCCUGUAAUCCCAGCACUCUGGGAGGCCGAGGCGGGUGGAUCACGAGGUCAGGAGAUCGAGACCAUCCUGGCUAACACGGUGGAACCCAGUCUCUACUAAAAAUACAAAAAGUUAGCCGGGCAUGGUGGUGGGCACCUGUAGUCCCAGCUACUCAGGAGGCUGGGGCAGCAGAAUGGCGUGAACCCAGGAGGUGGAGCUUGCAGUGAGCCGAGAUCGUGCCACUGCACUCCAGCCUGGGCAACAGAGCAAGACUCCUUCUCAAAAACA
rnacentral:lncRNA from 1 species